AGAUUGAACGCUGGCGGCAUGCCUAACACAUGCAAGUCGAACGGGAGUAGCAAUACUCUAGUGGCGGACGGGUGAGGAAUACGUAGGAAUUUGCCCUUAAGUGGGGGAUAACCCGGGGAAACCCGGAUUAAUACCGCAUGACCUCGAAAGAGCAAAGUGGGGGAUCGCAAGACCUCACGCUUUUGGAGAAGCCUACGUCGGAUUAGCUAGUUGGUGAGGUAAUGGCUCACCAAGGCGACGAUCCGUAACUGGUCUGAGAGGAUGAUCAGUCACACCGGAACUGAGACACGGUCCGGACUCCUACGGGAGGCAGCAGUGGGGAAUAUUUGGACAAUGGGCGCAAGCCUGAUCCAGCAAUGCCGCGUGUGUGAAGAGG
rnacentral:rRNA from 1 species